rnacentral:rRNA from 1 species
AACGAACGCUGGCGGCAUGCUUAACACAUGCAAGUCGAACGAGACCUUCGGGUCUAGUGGCGCACGGGUGCGUAACGCGUGGGAAUCUGCCCUUUGCUACGGAAUAACUCAGAGAAAUUUGUGCUAAUACCGUAUAAUGUCGUAAGACCAAAGAUUUAUCGGCAAAGGAUGAGCCCGCGUAAGAUUAGCUUGUUGGUGAGGUAAAGGCUCACCAAGGCGACGAUCUUUAGCUGGUCUGAGAGGAUGAUCAGCCACACUGGGACUGAGACACGGGCCCAGACUCCUACGGGAGGCAGCAGUGGGGAAUAUUGGACAAUGGGCGAAAGCCUGAUCCAGCAAUGCCGCGUGAGUGAUGAAGGCCUUAGGGUUGUAAAGCUCUUUUACCAGGGAUGAUAAUGACAGUACCUGGAGAAUAAGCUCCGGCUAACUCCGUGCCAGCAGCCGCGGUAAU